AACAGGUAGGAGAACACAAACCAGGGAAAGAGUACAUUUAAAGGUGAGAGAAGAGAAAUCCGACCUGAGAUUUGCAGCAAUGGUGAACAAUAAGACAUUGAUGGUGGUCGUCCUCCUAAGCAUCUUUGUGGCAGGAAGUCAAACAAAAGGAGAUCAAGACACUGGAUCACAUCAGAAUCCAGCUUCUGCGGUUAAAAAACUGACAGUUUUCCAAGAGCAGACCUUUAUUUCGGGCAGCGAUGUGACUUUACGAUGUGACAACCUCACUGUUGUCAAAUGGAAUGAAUUAAUUUAUAUAAUCUGGAACAUCAGCCAGCAAAACAGAACGUGUUGGCUUGGUUUGUCCCCCAAGCUGGACG
rnacentral:lncRNA from 1 species